rnacentral:rRNA from 1 species
UACGUAGGGUGCAAGCGUUGUCCGGAAUUAUUGGGCGUAAAGAGCUCGUAGGCGGCUGUUCAAGUCGAACGUGAAAACUCGGGGCUCAACUCCGAGCCUGCGUUCGAUACUGGACGGCUAGAGUCUGGUAGGGGGAUCUGGAAUUCCUGGUGUAGCGGUGGAAUGCGUAGAUAUCUGGAGGAACACCGGUGGCGAAGGCGACAUCCUGGACCAACACUGACGCUGAGUGAGCGAAAGCCAGGGGAGCAAACGGG